AUCGCCAGUCUUUUGUUUCGCAAUGGACGAUUGGUGCAGUGGUUUGUGUCAGUGUCUUUUUGGUUGGACUCAAAUUUCCGAAAUUGGCCCUUUUUGGACUAAACAAGUGCUGGAAAAUGGAAAAGACUGAUUUCCUGGACUGGAUGGUGAAAGACUUCGGAUUUUCUGGAAUGCGCAACGUUGAUCCAGUGCCGGUGAUGGAGCUGAAUUGGCAGCAGCGCGCUGCACUUGGGAAGGUGAGUGUUUGAAGGAGGUUUCCUGGAAGAGGGUUGGCUGCAGCCAAUUUUUGCCUGAUACAGUUUUUAUUGAGCGCUUCAUUGGCUGCUUAAGACAGUUUUUUGGUUUGCGAUACUUUGAAAACUGGCAGAGUUACGACGCAAAAAGCGCAGUGUUGACUGCGGCUCCUCAAGUGCAACUUUUCAAAACUCAAACUCGUUUUGCACAAGAGUGGAGGCCCGUAGGCGCUUUGUUCAAGAGAACUUUUCUUCGGGCAACUACAGCAGGUUUAAGGUGUUUUUGAAAAUUUCCAAAAAAUAUGACUGUUGACAGAAUGAUGCGCAAGAGUGUGGGCUGAAUUAGAAAAGCACAGUUUCAGUCAUUCAACCUUUGAAGAUUCGUUGCCCCCGAA